UGGGAUGUCGCCAAGCGGUAAGGCACAGGACUUUGACUCCUGUAUCGCUGGUUCGAAUCCAGCCAUCCCAG
rfam:Selenihalanaerobacter shriftii strain ATCC BAA-73 genome assembly, contig: EI55DRAFT_scaffold00025.25